GGGGGAGAGGGGGGUCUCCACGGCUUCUAUCUCCCCCGCGGCUGGGGCUACCCUUCCAGCUACGGAAGACUCCACGGUGUGCGCCCCCAGGGCCUCCCAAACUGUUUCCAAACUGCCCAGGCCGGUGGUGGACGCGUGGAGUCUCGGCGAAAAGGGCUGGGUUUCGAGUGGGGGGUGAUCGUGUGUAUGACUACUAGAAGCCUGGAGGGGAGGCAGACGUCGACCCCAAACGAGUUUGCAAUCGAGGUAUCUCCGAUCCCGCUUCCUCUUUGGCCCGCACGCCCCCUCCCUCCCAGGAGCUGUGCUGGGGAAGGGAAACCAAGGUUUGGAACCACACUAGCCUUCACAUUCCUGGGAGGAUACAACCCUCGCCUGGACGGGGAAGAUAGCUCUUUCUCUUUAUUUUUUCGUUUUUAUUUUUUGCCUUUCUGUUUUUAUUUUUGGAGGGGAGCGCCCAGUAAUUGUCUUGAACACAUGCUUCUCCCUCCCUCCUUCCUCCAGCCACCAGCGACAGAGAGUCCCCUUUUUUGCAUUUAUCAUUUUCCUUCCCCUUUCUUUAUUAAAGGUCCGGGAGUGGCGGCGGCCAAUCAGCGCUCGGCUUCCAUUUUAGCACUAAACAGCCCUCAGCGAAGCCGCCUUUUUGCCAGCCCAACCCUGGAAAGUUUGCAGUCGUGGAAGGAGCAGAAAUACCACGAGUGUAACUUACAAAGAAGGUAACAAAGGGACACCAGAACCCCAGGUUUCCCCCCAACUAAACAACCAAACAUCCCCCACCUCCCAAAAAAAGACCUGUUAUUUUUAUAAUAUCUCCAAAAGCGCCGGCCAGCUUUUUCUUCUAGACGCCAUGGCGCCGGGCUGAGUGGGUAAGUAAAAAACUAGACUAAAAAAAUUUGUUUUCAAGUGUCUUUUUCCCCCUUCGAGGAACUCUCGAUUGAGCAGGCCAUGGGCUGCAGAUGAUUGGGAGCUGGGAUUUCUUGAGCUUGAGCUUGGCAGCCGAUUGCAGUGGGUGGGUGAGGGGACUAGGGCUCUCCAGACCCCUCUGCCUCUUUUGCACCCAAAGGCGAAGAGAGCCUGUCCCCAGUACCCUGGGGCAUCCAUGGAGCCGCCUGCGCUAGUCCCUUUGGCUCGCCUCAGGUUUGCACCUUAGUGGCAGAGAAGAAAUCGAAGUGUUUUGGAGAUGGAGGGGCUGAAAAAAGCGAGGAAACCUUCCCACCCAUCUUAAAGUCUCGUUCCUGAUUGAUUGUGGGGGUUUCUGUCCCCCGGAAGCCAGCUUUUCGGGGCUCCGGGGCUCGCCUGCUCUUCCAAAGAGAAAAAGGACAAAAGGCCGGCGUCCAUGUUGGCAUCAUGACGCAGCAUCUCUCUCCCGCCUGCAGCCUGGCGCUGCUUGUCCUCCGGGCCGCGCUCGCUCCUCCCUCUCAAACACGAGUUUUAUUUUCAGGUUUUUGAGCCGAGCCGAGGGCUGGGUCGGGUUGGAGCCAAGGCUGAAGCCGCCGGGCCAUUCAAUACUGCUCUCUGGCUAAUGGCGGCCGGCUUUCCUCCUUCCUUCCGCCAUCCUGCUUUUCCCUGGUUGUCGCUGGGAGCCGAGAGGCAGCCCCGGGCCCUAACAGCCUGCCAGGCACGGCGCCCGCGAUCCUGGUGACGGGUCUCGGGGGGCCUUAGGCCCCGGGGGGCGUCGCGCACCCUAAUUCUCCGCACUCGAUCCCCCCGAGCCCCUCCCCCCAGGCGCGGUUCGGGCAGUGGCGGCCGCGGGGGGAGCCGAGGCCGGGUAGGGCGAGCCCCUGGAGGCGGGUGAGGGACCCCGAUCUCCGUGGCAGCCCCGGCCUCCCAAGGCCCACACGGGCACGAGGCCUCGCUCUGGCUUGCACUGCCUGCCGUUCUGCCUCGGAACAGGAGCCAGUAGUUAGCCAAGGGCUAAGAGGCUGCUCCAGCCUCCCUUCACUGCCACUUGGCUUCGGGAGACCCACCCCUGCCUCCCCCAGACGUCCUUUGGUAGUCGAGCCGGAGGGGCGGGUCUCCCCUUUUGUCCCCACUUGGGGUUAGAGGCCUUCGCAGUGGCUUCACUUGGACGCCAGGGGCCCAGCCUCCAACCCAGCUCUCUGUGGGUUGGAGGUGUGUUUUGGAAGGGGGUGGGCUGGGGCUUGGGAAAGCCGAUUGGGGCCUCCCCUUCGGGAUCCCCCCCAGCCCCCCGCCGCGAUAGUGCCCGAGGGUAAAGCCUUAGAUCCUGGCCUUCCUGGGGGAGGGGAUGUGGACAGGGCGGGUCUUUGGAAAUGCAGAUGAGUCGUCUCCCGCUGCUGGUCUCCUGGGUUGAACUUUAGUGACUCAGCCACCCUCACCCCACCCCCACCCAUUCCACAGUGAGGGCCGCCUUGUCAGCUGGGAAAGGGGGGGGGGGGACACAGCAUUUCUGUGACUCCCUUUCUAUCUAGUAGACCCUGUUGGUAUUGCAUUUGGCCAAUCCAUUCUCUCUGAACCUACAAACUGUGGAAUUGCCCUAACAGAACGUCCGAAUUUACAGGUCUUGGCCGGAGACCGGAGCCAUGUCUGUGUUAUCCCCACUGUAGACAAUCCUUGCUUCCUCUGGACAUCUGGAGCAGGCCCAAUUUGACUGAGAGCCUUCCCCCACUAAGGUAGGUAAGAGCCCUUUCCCCAAGUUCAGAGAACUGUUGCCGGGCUUUGACCUGCAGCCUUCGAAGGGCGGCUUGGGAUCCCCAAACCUGCUGGGCUGGUUCUGCAGCCCCUCCCCCACGCUGAUGUGGCGGUUGUGUGUGUGAAAUGGGCGGCCUGCUGGGUCCAUCCAGCCCCGCCUGUCAGCUUCUGCUGUGGGGCGUUUAGGGCGGGCGAUUCUCAUGCCGAAUUUAGCAGCUUACUAGAGCAAGGACUACCAAGUAUUUCCCAGUGGUGUGGUUUAUGGUGGCUGGGAGGGCCCUGGAAACUUCUGAAGACGGUGACUGCUGCCAGGUUUCCCAGUGGUGCUUCAGACAUUGUUCCUGAACCCCAUUAGGGGGACCAGCUGAGCCCCCUUCUGAUGUCUGCCUUGCUGGAUAGACAAAGAAGCAAAAGAUGUGAAGUGGUAGCCAGCUUCCCGAGAGAAAAGAUUUCCUUGGCUUCUCCUUUUCCUGGAUCCGAGCUCUCAACAAGGCCAGGUGUCGGUAGCCUGGCUUCUAGAACGUGACACAAACGGAGGCUGGCCCUUCACCUGUCUGUAGUGAUCUUACAGAGUCAAUGAGGUCUGUGCUUAGUCUCUGAGCAGGGUCUCCCCAGCUGCACCGGCAUCAGAAGUCAGUGGUUGGACCCAUUAAACCCGACUGUGCCCAUUUCUCGAGUUUCCCUCUUAGGCAGUUACAUCUAAGAACUUGCUCUUCUUACAAGGUUCCAGGUAGCACCAAGUUUCUAGACUCUCUCUAGUAGGUGGCACCUGGGAUGUCACCCAGCUUGGUGGCUAGCAGUUGGCUUGCCCUCCUCCUAGGCAGGAAGCUUUGCUGCUGAAACUGGUGUGGCCCUUGAUCCCUGACCCCUGGCCCCCUAGUGUGUUUCUCGUUUUGUUACUUUGAUAAGCCAUUUGGCCUCAGGUGCCGCGGCUCCUGCUGGCUUCCCCUAUUUGGGCCUCAGCUUCCAGCCUCUAGUCUUCUCUUUUCUCCUCACCCCUACAGUGAGUGCUGACGUGUGAGUCGGGGAGCCUGGAAGGCUUCCCUGAGUUGUUGCUGGAGGCAGAUUGGUGCCUAAUCAGGGUGCUUCUAGUCUGGCAGCUGUAGGUUAGAUGUGGACCUAGCUAGUGACCUUGGACCAUUGCCUCUCUUCCCCCUCCCCGGGUUAAAAAGACCACAAUACCUGCUGGAAAAGGUUGGUGGGAGGAUUAAGUGAGAUUAAGAGGGCCAGACUCCUGCUCUGACCUCACAACCAGUUGGCCUCCAUUGUGAUAAGGAUUGUUGCUGGGAGUGGUUGCUGCCUGCGCCGGUGGGGGCUGGGCUGUCUCCAGGGCUCCUCCCCGCCAGCCCACUUCCUGAAGCACGUGCUGGAGCCUCCAGGCAAAGGAGAAAGAAAACUGGCUUUGCUUGGGAAGGCAGCCAGCCCUGUUUUUCUUCUAGUGUUUGAGUCCAGGCUGUUCCCGGGGCUCCGUAGGCUGUCCUGUGGUUGGGUCGGGAUUUAAGGGCCACCCACCAAUAGCCCCAAGAGAAGAAAUGUCUCACCCAAGGUUAUGAGGCCACCACGGAGCAGAGCCUGGACAGGGUUCCAGGUGUCUUGAUUUUCAGCCCAGAACCUGGGCCCGUGACACCCCCUUGCCCAGCUGUCUGGGUUAUUUUAGGCUCCCUCCCGUGCCAGCUGUCUGCCUUUAUCACUGCCAGAGAGAGCUGUCUGGUAUAGCAAGGCUCCACAAUGGUCCCGUGGCUCCCGCUGGUGCAGAGGGCCAGGCAUCAAGUCCGUCGAUGAGCUGGCUUUCUGCUGGGAAGGCUGAACUCCUCACCCCUAUUGAGAAGGGGGGCGGGGAGAAGAGCGCUUUGCUAGGUUGGUCUCGUUCAUACUUUAGAUACCUGGUAAGCCUUGGAACACAACUGAUCAACCCUAAAGGCUCUGGUUAGAGUCCUUGGAUCUGGCUGGGGUCUUUAUCUCCUCCAGCCUCCCACUAAUUGAUUUAAGUCGCGCUGUGUCAGCUGUACCCUGGAGGGCUACAGGCUUUAGGGAGCAAUUAGGCGCUAAGCUGUGACGUGGUGCUUGAAAGGGGAAGAUGGAAGUGACCGGGACCAACUUGUGGCUUGCUCUCUACUUCAGGUCUUUUCCACCUCUCUCUCUCUCUCUCCUUUCUUUGGCCCCUUAUCACCUCCUGGGCUGUAGGGUGGGGCAGUUUGUCCUGCUGUUGUUCCUGGCCCCGAGGGGUGCCCCGCCUCCUGGUCACCCACGGAGCGUGGGGCGGAGCCGCUCUGGCCUGCAGAGAGAGGGCCACGCCAGCAGAAGGCUUGCCUGAACUGGGAGGUGGCUGUACUCGAUUUACUACACGAGAUUCCAGUGUCCCCGCCCCUUCCGGCUCCUCCACCUGGCCCCGAGCCCAAGUUUGGAAUAUGACCUUUUUAGACUCUCUGCAACCGAGGUGGGUCGGAGGACCCGCCAUCCCCGCUCUCCACGGCCCCCAGUGUUUUCUCGGAUUGUUCCGUGCCAAUGGGAACCAGGAGGGAAAGUUGAACAAAAACCUUCAGAGCUAUUAAAUUGUCGCGUGAUGGAGGAGGGUCUUGCUGUGUCCGGGCUAGUCCUAGUGACAGGUUAGGACCCUAGGUAUAUCCCUUUGUACCAACGUUCGCUGGUUUUCCGCCUGGCUUCCAGAAAUCACUAAGCCCAUCCUCUGCUUGUUCCCUGGAGCUGUUAAGUAGCUGAGACUUGGAGCGGUCAGGCUGCCUAACCAGGUAGAUAAGAUAGCCUGGCUUCACCCCUCUGCUAGAGUCUUUAUCUCCCCCCUCUUAUCCGUUCCAUCUGCAUUUGGAUAGCUCAAUAAUUGAUUUAUGGGGCCUCUGAAUAGGGGAGUGGUGGCCUUAGCCUCCCCCACCCAAAUUUGUACUUUGUCCUUAAAGGCUGCAGUCUGUUCUCCUCUGCCCCCCUGGAUCUGAGCUUUAGUCUCUGCAGUGACCACCUGACAGCUCCCUGAGGGGGGUUUGAGGCAAGAACCCACAGAAGCAAUUUCUUGCUUUCCUCUGCUCUCUAGGAAUUCCUGGACAAUGGAGAGUGCCCCAGGCCCCCUGAACAUCUUGCUGAUGAGGGAGUAAAGCCACCCUGGGUGGGUGUGAGUGCGCGCGCGCGCGCCUAUCUCCUCAGCUGGCCCGGCCCGACCUCUGAGGAGGCUCUCACCAGCAGCUGGCUAGAUUCCUGGUUAUUUUUAGUUACAGAUCCAGCCCCACCAUCACCACCAGAGUUGAGUCCAAAUCCAACACUCUAGGCCGGGUAGUGCUGGGACUUUGCCAGCCUCCUGCUGAGGUAGGGCUGGAAGUGAAUUCUCCCCUUGGCAAACUGCAGCCAGCCAGCCUCCUGGGUCGAGAGCCAAGCCAAAAGAUGUCUGAGAGAAGAAACCUGGGGUCCUGCAAAGGUAAGUGGGUCCCAGCCCACUCUCAAUCCCCCUCUCUCUGUGUGAUUGCUAUUCCACACUGGAGUCACCUGCUCUGUGCUUCUGAGGAACCUCACCUCUGGCACAUCAAUGGAAAUUGUCCUUCCCUUUUUAUUUAUUUUUAUUUAUUUUUUAUUUUUUGCCACCCUCACUGGCCACUAAGAGAUAGCCCUAGCUCCUCCUCUCCUGCCUGGUUUUGACAGGACUCACUCCAUUGAGUCCUGUCUCGUCUCUUUGCAGCCCUCCUCCUCCCCCCCCCCCCCCUUCAGCCAGCACUUAGGCCCUCCCUGAUUUAGCCCGUUACCUUGACAACCACUUGGGCCUGUCUCCCUCAUCACCACUGAAAACCUGAAGGUGGUUUUCCAGCUGCGGUACAUUUGCCCAAGUUGGGCACCCCUCCAGCUUCUAUUGGCUCGCCCUCUAUACAGCUGUACCCAAUAUAACAAACACAACCUUCCUGGCCCCUCAGCUGUAGUCUCGAAAUUGAUCUCACUGGUCCCGGGAACUCCGUCAAUACUGCCUCCUCUAGACUGAGCUCCUCACAGGCAGGAACAUGGUUGUUUCUCAAUAAACAAGUUG
rnacentral:lncRNA from 1 species